rnacentral:rRNA from 1 species
UACGGAAGGGGCUAGCGUUGUUCGGAAUUACUGGGCGUAAAGAGUGCGUAGGCGGCUUACCAAGUUGGGGGUGAAAUCCCGGAGCUCCACUCCGGAACUGCCUUCAAAACUGGUAGGCUCGAGUCCGGAAGAGGGGCGUGGAAUUCCCAGUGUAGAGGUGAAAUUCGUAGAUAUUGGGAAGAACACCGGUGGCGAACGCGGCGCCCUGGUCCGGUACUGGCGCUGAGGCGCGAAAGCGGGGGGAGCAAACAGG